GCUUUGGAAGGCGCACGGGGCGAAGAUGGCGGCGGAGCGACAGGAGGCGCUGAGGGAGUUCGUGGCGGUGACGGGCGCCGAGGAGGACCGGGCCCGCUUCUUUCUCGAGUCGGCCGGCUGGGACUUGCAGUGAUAAUAGAGUGACAUCCUUCAGAGACCUCAUUCAUGACCAAGAUGAAGAUGAGGAGGAGGAGGAAGGCCAGAGGUGAGUCUUCUAGAGGGGGUCAGGGGGGCAGUUCACAGGGAAGUCCAGGGUAAUGUGUAAAUCACCUAGAACAGGACCUGGUAAACAUGUUCGGUUAUUGUUAGCCAUUACUACUGUGGGCUGGUCUGUGUGGGUUAUAUCUUAGGAAGUCUGUUCUACUCCUUGUAGCUUAGAAGUGACCCCUGUUCCGUUACUUAAUGUAUUUAUUGAGGAAUAUUAGGGGAGGGAAACAAGGAAAAGAUCUA
rnacentral:sRNA from 1 species